CUGUUGAGAUGUUAAAUGUCUCCUAAUGCAGGCAUUCUCAACACUCUGAUGGCACAUUGGUGAUUAACCAGCUGACGUCAGAUGAUUCAGGGCUUUAUACCUGCACCGUCACGGACGCCCAAAAGUCUGAACAACGCCAAAUCCAGCUCAGGGUUGUUGGCGACCUCAGGAUCACUAAAGCCCCCACGGAUGUCGAUGUGCCGCAGGGCAGCACUGCUCAACUGCCCUGUGUAGUGACCGGAGAAAAUGUGAACGUUGGCUGGUCACGGAAUGGUGUGCCAGUGCGACCGGACGGACAUCAUGUGCAUGUGUCAGCAGACGGGACACUAAUACUAAAUAAUGUCCAGUCAGUGGAUGAGGGGACGUAUACCUGCAAUGCCUACACUGGGACGUACUCGGUCAGCGCAGCGGCUGAAGUGCGACUGGCCAAAUCCCCUCAACAAGGUCAGUGGAGUGAGAACGAG